rnacentral:lncRNA from 7 species
GACUGAAUGUCAGGUUUUAUUAAAGCAGAUGAAAUCUAGGAAAAAAAACCAAACCUGUAAGUCACACGAAACUAGGAUGCAUCCACACCAUGACUCUGGUUGGCAAGUUAGUUUACUCAGAGUUAACUGGAAAGCUCAAGAAUAAUCAGGAGCUUCAUAAAGAGCAUGUUUAAUAGCCGGACAGACCUGAGCUUUUUUAGCUGGAGAGAAGGGGAAGUGCACUGGGUGGGAGAAAACUUCAGAAAAGAUGUGGUAAGUGAAGGGGUCAGCUGCAUGCUAAUGAUGUUUUCUUAAGAGGCAGGCAAAAGGGAUGCUAAGCAGUGUUAGAUCACCAGGGCAGAAUGGCUAAAAACAAAACGCUUUGUUUGACCCAUUAAUUAAGCACUUCCCUGCAGGAUGUAACUGAGGCCAACAGUUCAGAAAACGAAGGAAGUGGAUGUUUAAAGAAUGAAUGACAGGUGGAGUUCAAGGUCUCUUAAUCCUCAUCCUUGAGAGCACUCACCAGCUGUAGACGGGGACAAUAUCCUCUUUUGAGAUUUAGUUGCACAAUUAAUGUACAUUAGGAGUCAUUUAAUUCUUCUUAUGUAUCUAGUAUCCACGACUCCUUAAGAUGGACACAGGAACAGACACUAGGGUUACUAUUUCAAGCCACCUUCUCUUUCUCUGUGUGGAAGAAGUCCUGUCUUUUGCUCUGUAUCUCCAGUUCAACAGAGAGAAAUGAAAGGGAAAACGACCAAUUUUCCCCUUUUUGCUCUUGUUCCUUAUAGUCUCUAUUACAAGAUGAAUCACAUCAAUACAAAGCUUAGCUUCCUUGCUAACAAACAAGACAGCUGUCCCCUGUGACACAGAGGAUUAGUGCAAUCCAGAUUUAUGCCCUAAGAAACUUGAGGGCACAAUGAAAAAUGAACCGUGCUUCUGCACUUCAGCUCCCUCAUCCAGCUACUCUGGCUUCUGGUCUAUCUGCCUUUAUCUGUUAAAAAAAGGCUAGAGGUGAGUCUUUCUCACACUUCUGCAGCCUCUACAACUGCAGAAAAAGAAUGAAAAUAAGGAUGUAGGGUGUAACUUGUACUCCUUAGUGCCUGCUGAAUAAAAACCAUGGCCCUUGAGGAGUCCUAUUAAUUAUUUAGUGUUAAAUAUUAACGAUUGCUCAUUUAGCUCUGGGGUUUAAAUUUUCACUAUUCAGUACUUCCCCUCUGAUGUCUGCCUACAAGCCCUCCUGAAUCCUGUGGAACUGCCUCCAAUACACCGAGAUUGGAUAGAUACUGCCUGUGUUGUAUGUGGAGACUGGAACAAAUGCUGACCUACUACUAGCAAAACUAUCUUAAAUAUACUGCAAACCUUGAAAUAAGGAGAUAUUCAUAUUUUUAUGUAGAGAAGUCCCUUUGACAGCUGGCCAAUUGCAAAUUUUUUUUCAUGGAUAAAAGUAUCAGUGAGCAAAACCAAGAACUUUCUGCCAUGGUGUCACUCUGAUAUCAUCAUAUACUGAGAAGUGGGAUCAAGUCUUCAUCAGUCUGUGACACACUGGCCUUUGUUUUUUUUUGUUGUUGUUGUUGUUUGUUGUUUGGGUUUUUUUAACUUUUAAAAUGUGAUAAGCUAAACAAGUCUUCAGAAACUUAAGAUAUGUUAGCAAGUGUUUUAGCUGGGAGUGGAGUGCUUUUAUUCAGUUGACUAUGACUAUUUUACCUGUGUGCCACUGUAUGGGUCAGUACAAAGUAUGCUUGGAUGCCUACCAGAAUAAAUGACUCCAGAACUGUGGUUGGAACAUAGUUUGUGAUCAUACAGUAGCUGUGUUGCUGUUAGCAGAUGUUUAACGUGGGGGGUUUUUUAAUUAUUUUUUAAGUAUUUCACGUGGGGUCCUGAUAAUCAGGCACUAAAUAUAAGCAGGAUGGGCCUAUGUCCCGUGUGUACUGUGCAAGUCUGGCUGAAAUAAUACCGUGUAUUCUAGUGGUCUUGCACUGCUGUCCUAUUAACAUUAAGACCUGUAUUAUGGAGUUAAUAACUGACCCUAUGGAAGCACGUUGUAUUCUAGCUUGAUUUUUGCUCUGCCAGAGCAAGGUGGAGAUGGUUUCUCUACAGCUAAGCUGAACUCCUAAGGGAAUUUAACAUUUUUUGUCUGUUUUCCAAGCAGGUGUUUACUUGUAUCACAAGCACUCUCCAUCAGUGGUGCCGUGGCCCUGUCUGCUCAAAAGCAAUUCAAUUAGGCCAAGAAGGCUACUGAAUCCCCCAUGAUCUCUGCAGAGCAGAGUGUCUCCCUCCAGAUCAGGGUUGAGAUGGUGCUAGUGGGGCCACAGUGGUCCCCUUCCAUGCACAUCACUGUUCCACUCUAGCACUGAUAGGGUGCUCCAAAACCAUUUACAUCUCUAUCACUGGUACAGCUCAGAACUAAUUAAGAAAUGGAAGGUUUCUUUCUUUACAAAUCAUAUCAUGUGUGUCUUUUUGUAAUUAAUCGGUGUAGUUCUGUGUCUUUAUGUAGCCAGCACAGAACUCUUAUUUAGAGUUAGUUCUUACUGCACUUCC